UACGCAGGGAGCUAGCGUUGUUCGGCAUCACUGGGCGUAAAGCGCACGUAGGCGGAUGUGUCAGUCAGGGGUGAAAUCCCGGAGCUCAACUUCGGAACUGCCUUUGAUACAGCACGUCUUGAGUCCGAUAGAGGUGGGUGGAAUUCCUAGUGUAGAGGUGAAAUUCGUAGAUAUUAGGAAGAACACCGGUGGCGAAGGCGGCCCACUGGAUCGGUACUGACGCUGAGGUGCGAAAGCGUGGGGAGCAAACAGG
rnacentral:rRNA from 1 species